rnacentral:rRNA from 1 species
GUCUUUUUGAGUUAUUUUUAAAGUCUGACCUGCCCACUGAAUUUUUUUUAAAUGGCCGCAGUAUUCUAACUGUGCAAAGGUAGCAUAAUCAUUAGUCUUUUAAUUGAAGGCUGGUAUGAACGGUUGGACGAGGUAUAAGCUGUUUCAUGUAAAUUUAUAGUAGAAUUUUAUAUUUUAGUCAAAAAGCUAAAAUGUAAUUAAAAGACGAGAAGACCCUAUAAAUCUUUAUAUUUUAUGUAAUUUAAAUUUUUUUGAUUUUUUUUAUUUUUAUUAUAUCAAAUAUUUUGUUGGGGUGAUAUUAAAAUUUGAUGAACUUUUAAUUGUUUUAAGUCAUUAAUUUAUGAAUUAUUGAUCCAUUAGUAGUGAUUAUAAGAUUAAGUUACUUUAGGGAUAACAGCGUAAUUUUUUUGGAGAGUUCUUAUCGAUAAAAAAGUUUGCGACCUCGAUGUUGGAUUAAGAUAUAGAUUUAGGUGUAGUCGCUUAAAUAC